CAGAGAGUAGUUUAAAGUAUAGGRAAAAAUAUUAAUUUUGGAGAUUAAUGAUAAGAGGUUCUUUUCUCUGA
rnacentral:tRNA from 1 species